ACUCAAAUGAAUUGACGGGGGCCCGCACAAGCGGUGGAGCAUGUUGGUCAAUUGGAUGAUACGCCAAGAACCUUACCAGGGUUUGACAUGUUUGGGACAGCUGGUGAAAGCCAGUCUCCGUAGCAAUACGGCCCAUUCACAGGUGGUGCAUGGUUGUCGUCAGCUCGUGUCGUGAGAUGUUGGGUUAAGUCCCGCAACGAGCGCAACCCUCGCCGGAUGUUGCCAUCGGUAACGCCGGGAACUCUUCCGGGACUGCCCGAGUAAUCGGGAGGAAGGAGGGGACGACGUCAAAUCGGCAUGCCCCUUACACCCUGGGCUGCAAACGUGCUACAAUGGCCGGUACAAAGGGUUGCCAAGCCGCGAGGUGGAGCCAAUCCCCCAAAACCGGUCCCAGUUCGGAUUGGGUGUCUGCAACUCGACCCCAUGAAGGCGGAAUCGCUAGUAACCGUGGAUCAGCAACGCCACGGUGAAUACGUUCCCGGGCCUUGUACACACCGCCCGU
rnacentral:rRNA from 1 species